rnacentral:rRNA from 1 species
AUACGUAGGGUGCGAGCGUUGUCCGGAAUUACUGGGCGUAAAGAGCUCGUAGGCGGUUUGUCGCGUCGUCUGUGAAGUCCUCCAGCUUAACUGGGGGCGUGCAGGCGAUACGGGCAGACUUGAGUACUACAGGGGAGACUGGAAUUCCUGGUGUAGCGGUGAAAUGCGCAGAUAUCAGGAGGAACACCGGUGGCGAAGGCGGGUCUCUGGGUAGUAACUGACGCUGAGGAGCGAAAGCAUGGGGAGCAAACAGGAUUAGAUACCCUGGUAGUCCAUGCCGUAAACGGUGGGCGCUAGGUGUGGGGUCCUUCCACGGAUUCCGUGCCGCAGCUAACGCAUUAAGCGCCCCGCCUGGGGAGUACGGCCGCAAGGCUAAA